rnacentral:rRNA from 1 species
AUUGAACGCUGGCGGCAUGCCUUACACAUGCAAGUCGAACGGUAACGGGCCUUCGGGUGCCGACGAGUGGCGAACGGGUGAGUAAUGCAUCGGAACGUACCCGGGAGUGGGGGAUAACUAUCCGAAAGGAUAGCUAAUACCGCAUAUUCUGUGAGCAGGAAAGCAGGGGACCGCAAGGCCUUGUGCUUCCGGAGCGGCCGAUGUCAGAUUAGCUAGUUGGUGGGGUAAAGGCCUACCAAGGCGACGAUCUGUAGCGGGUCUGAGAGGAUGAUCCGCGACCCUGGAACUGAGAAACGGUCCAGACUCCUACGGGAGGCGGCAGUGGGGAAUUUUGGACAAUGGGGGCAACCCUGAUCAAGCCAUGCCGCGUGAGUGAAGAAGGCCUUCGGGUUGUAAAGCUCUUUCGGCCGGGAAGAAAUCGGUGAGGUUAAUACCCUCACUGGAUGACGGUACCGGAAUAAGAAGCACCGGCUAACUACGUGCCAGCCGCCGCCGUAA